CUAUUUUUGCGGCCGAUUGGUUCCCAAGCGACUUUUUCCGAGUCGGGGGAUUAAAAGGGAACCGGGUGAAAUUCCCGGACAGACCCGCUGCUGUGAAGCUCCGCCAAUCAUCCGGGCAAUCUGUACCACUGGCCGUUUCGUGCCGGGAAGGAGUUCGGAUGAGGAGUCAGUCAGAAGACCUGCCAACGAUUUAUGGAUUUA
rnacentral:ncRNA from 2 species